rnacentral:misc_RNA from 1 species
GAUGAAGAACGCAGCGAAAUGCGAUACUUGGUGUGAAUUGCAGAAUCCCGUGAACCAUCGAGUCUUUGAACGCAAGUUGCGCCUCAAGCCAUUAGGUUGAGGGCACGUCUGCCUGGGCGUCACAUAUCGUUGCCUGAUGCCAGUUUCCUCGUGAUGGGUGACUGUGCAGGGCGAAUGAUGGCUUCCCGUGAGCAUUGUUGCCUCAUGGUUGGUUGAAAAUUGAGUCCUUGGUAGGGAGCGCCGUGAUAGAUGGCGGUUGAGUGACGAACGAGACCCAAUCAUGUGAGACCCCUACCGAAUUUGGCCUUCAUGACCCACAUGCGUCUUUGGAACGCUCAUGACGAGACCUCAGGUCAGGCGGGGCUACCCGCUGAGUUUAAGCAUAUCAAUAAGCGGAGGA